GACGAACGCUGGCGGCGUGCUUAACACAUGCAAGUCGAACGGAAAGGCCCUGCUUUUGUGGGGUGCUCGAGUGGCGAACGGGUGAGUAACACGUGAGUAACCUGCCCUUGACUUUGGGAUAACUUCAGUAAACUGGGGCUAAUACCGGAUAGGAGCUCCUGCUGCAUGGUGGGGGUUGGAAAGUUUCGGCGGUUGGGGAUGGACUCGCGGCUUAUCAGCUUGUUGGCGGGGUAGUGGCUUACCAAGGCUUUGACGGGUAGCCGGCCUGAGAGGGUGACCGGCCACAUUGGGACUGAGAUACGGCCCAGACUCCUACGGGAGGCAGCAGUGGGGAAUAUUGCACAAUGGGCGGAAGCCUGAUGCAGCAACGCCGCGUGCGGGAUGACGGCCUUCGGGUUGUAAACCGCUUUCGCCUGUGACGAAGCGUGAGUGACGGUAAUGGGUAAAGAAGCACCGGCUAACUACGUG
rnacentral:rRNA from 1 species